rnacentral:rRNA from 1 species
GACGGAAGGUGCAAGCGUUGCUCGGAAUCACUGGGCGUAAAGGGUGCGUAGGCGGCUGUGCAAGUCUGGCGUGAAAGCCCCGGGCUCAGCCCGGGAAGUGCGCUCGAAACUGCACGGCUCGAGUGCCGGAGGGGAGAGUGGAAUUCCUGGUGUAGCGGUGAAAUGCGUAGAUAUCUGGAGGAACACCGGUGGCGAAGGCGGCAUCCUGGACCAACACUGACGCUGAGGAGCGAAAGCCAGGGGAGCAAACGGG